AACUCUGAGCGGUGGAUCACUCGCCUCGGUGAGUCGUCGAUGAGAGCGCAGCCAACUGCUGUGAAUUAGUGCUGAAUUGCAGGAUAUAUCUUGAACAUCGACAUUCUUGAACGCGAUAAUUGCGGCCUCAGGUCUCCCUGUUGGCCACGCCUGGCGAGCGGUCG
rnacentral:rRNA from 1 species